rnacentral:rRNA from 1 species
AACGAACGCUGGCGGCAGGCUUAACACAUGCAAGUCGGGCGCCCCGCAAGGGGAGCGGCAGACGGGUGAGUAACGCGUGGGAAUCUACCCAUCUCUACGGAAUAACGCAUGGAAACGUGUGCUAAUACCGUAUACGUCCUUCGGGAGAAAGAUUUAUCGGAGAUGGAUGAGCCCGCGUUGGAUUAGCUAGUUGGUGGGGUAAAGGCCUACCAAGGCGACGAUCCAUAGCUGGUCUGAGAGGAUGAUCAGCCACACUGGGACUGAGACACGGCCCAGACUCCUACGGGAGGCAGCAGUGGGGAAUAUUGGACGAUGGGCGCAAGCCUGAUCCAGCCAUGCCGCGUGAGAGAUGAAGGCCCUAGGGUUGUAAAGCUCUUUCACCGGUGAAGAUAAUGACGGUAACCGGAGAAGAAGCCCCGGCUAACUUCGUGCCAGCCGCCGCAGUAAAAC